UACCAAAUACUAACUAUCUAACAGAAAAAAAAUCGCAUCAUAAAUAGAGCUAAUACCUCAUGGAUAUGACAUCUUCCACCUCACCGCAGAAAGCCAUGC